rnacentral:rRNA from 1 species
UACGAAGGGGGCUAGCGUUGCUCGGAAUCACUGGGCGUAAAGGGUGCGUAGGCGGGUCUUUAAGUCAGGGUGAAAUCCUGGAGCUCAACUCCAGAACUGCCUUUGAUACUGAAGAUCUUGAGUUCGGAGAGGUGAGUGGAACUGCGAGUGUAGAGGUGAAAUUCGUAGAUAUUCGCAAGAACACCAGUGGCGAAGGCGGCUCACUGGCCCGGUACUGACGCUGAGGUGCGAAAGCGUGGGAGCAACAGG